rnacentral:rRNA from 1 species
CGUCAGCUCUCGUUUUGAAAUGUCAAAUUAAGUCAAACAACGAGCGAGACCCCCACCCCUUGUUGUUAUUCCCGUCUCCUGAGGGGGGGCACUCUAAGGGGACUGCCGCUGUUAAACCGAAGAAAGAGUGGGGACAACGCCAAUUCAUCAUGCCCCUUACCCCCGGGGCUCCCCCCGGGUUCCAAUGCAGGGUCCAAAGGGUUGCGACCCCGAAAGGGGGAGCCAAUCCCUCAAACCCUGUCGCAGUUGGGAUUGAGGUCUGCACUCGCCCUCUGAAAGUGGAAUUCGCUAGUAAUCGCGG